CUAUACGCAUCGACUCUUGGUCUNNGGAUCANGAGAGAAAGCGAUACCGUGGGUAUCGCGCUCUUGGAUGGGCUCAUGUCCUAUCAGCUUGUUGGUGAGGUAAUGGCUCACCAAGGCUUCGACGGGUAGCUGGUCUGAGAGGACGAUCAGCCACACUGGCACUGCGACACGGGCCAGACUCCUACGGGAGGCAGCAGUAAGGAAUAUUGCGCAAUGGGCGACAGCCUGACGCAGCGACGCCGCGUGGGGGAUGAAGGUCUUCGGAUUGUAAACCCCUUUCGGCAGGGAAGAUGGGACGGGCAACCGUUCGGACGGUACCUGCAGAAGCAGCCACGGCUAACUUCGUGCCAGCAGCCGCGGUAAUACGAAGGUGGCAAGCGUUGUUCGGAUUUACUGGGCGUACAGGGAGCGUAGGCGGUUGGGUAAGCCCUUCGUGAAAUCUCCGGGCCUAACCCGGAAAGUGCGGAGGGGACUGCUCGGCUAGAGGAUGGGAGAGGAGCGCGGAAUUCCCGGUGUAGCGGUGAAAUGCGUAGAGAUCGGGAGGAANGCCGGUGGCGAAGGCGGCGCUCUGGAACAUUUCUGACGCUGAGGCUCGAAAGCGUGGGGAGCAAACAGGAUUAGAUACCCUGGUAGUCCACGCCUUAAACGAUGGAUACUAAGUGUCNGCGGCUUACCGCCGGUGCCGCAGCUAACUCCAGUAAGUAUNCCNCCUGGGUAAGUACGGCCGCCAGGUUGAANCUCAANGAAAUUGANNGGGGNCCCCCCANCGGUGGAGCAUGUGGUUUAUUUUUUNGCACNCGAAGAACUNACC
rnacentral:rRNA from 1 species